ACUAACUCGCGAUGGGGACAGACAGACAGUUAAAAGUGAAAAGUUAUUUAAAUAAAACAGUAGUCAAUUUAAGUCAAAACAAAAUGGACGCCAAAAAUUUUUCAAUGUGAUAUUAAAACUCUAACCUCUUUGGUAAUUAUGAAAGACCUAAUUAGAAUUUGACAGUGAUGUCGUUCCUUAUUGAAGACCGAAUUUCAAAUUUGGAACUCUCAGUGACAUAAUUCGAUAGUGUUUUGUUUUUUAUAGUAAAUGGCGUGAUCUGUUUUCUUAGAGGGAAUCAAUAUACAUAGUGUUAACGAAAUGUCAAUAUUGUUUGGAGUCAAAAAUAUUGUGUAAGAUAGAAGAAUUUGGUUCAAGAAAUGCAACAAGAUUUCAAGAAGGCCAUUUUCAUAUUUAAAGCUUUAAAUAAAACAUUGUUCUUUAUUGCAUAA